rnacentral:other from 1 species
AGUGCCCUGCGGGGUGCGUGAUGGGCCUUUUUUAACCCACAUUUUGUUAUACGGGAUGCUGGUUCACCGUCUGGUUUGCAGGCCUCCCGGCUGCCACCUGCGGUUGGAAGUUGGAAGCAGUAAAGGACGGUGCAGGCGACCCACCUGCCUUUCAUGUGCAGGUUAUAACAGGGCUCACACGGCUUCUGCGGGGUACCU